GACAGAGGUGGCGAGCGUUGUUCGGAAUUACUGGGCGUAAAGGGUGUGUAGGUGGUCAGAUAAGUCAGUGGUGAAAUCCUACGGCUUAACCGUAGAACUGCCUUUGAUACUGUCUGACUAGAGUGCAGGAGAGGAGGGUGGAAUUCCCGGUGUAGAGGUGAAAUUCGUAGAUAUCGGGAGGAACACCAAUGGCGAAGGCGGCCCUCUGGACUGCGACUGACACUGAGACACGAAAGCGUGGGGAGCAAACAGG
rnacentral:rRNA from 1 species